rnacentral:rRNA from 1 species
CGAACGAGUGCAGAGGAUUCGUCCAAUGUUACUUAGUGGCGGACGGGUGAGUAACGCGUGAGUACCUGCCUUGGAGUGGGGAAUAACAGGUGGAAACAUCUGCUAAUACCGCAUGAUGUCGCAUGGCCAAAGAUUUAUCGCUCUGAGAUGGACUCGCGUCUGAUUAGCUGGUUGGCGGGGUAACGGCCCACCAAGGCGACGAUCAGUAGCCGGACUGAGAGGUUGGCCGGCCACAUUGGGACUGAGACACGGCCCAGACUCCUACGGGAGGCAGCAGUGGGGAAUAUUGGGCAAUGGGCGCAAGCCUGACCCAGCAACGCCGCGUGAAGGAAGAAGGCUUUCGGGUUGUAAACUUCUUUUCUCAGGGACGAAGCAAGUGACGGUACCUGAGGAAUAAGCCACGGCUAACUACGUGCCAGCAGCCGCGGUAAUACGUAGGUGGCAAGCGUUAUCCGGAUUUACUGGGUGUAAAGGGCGUGUAGGCGGGACUGCAAGUCAGAUGUGAAAACCAUGGGCUCAACCUGUGGCCUGCAUUUGAAACUGUAGUUCUUGAGUACUGGAGAGGCAGACGGAAUUCCUAGUGUAGCGGUGAAAUGCGUAGAUAUUAGGAGGAACACCAGUGGCGAAGGCGGUCUGCUGGACAGCAACUGACGCUGAGGCGCGAAAGCGUGAGGAGCAAACAGGAUUAGAUACCCUGGUAGUCCACGCUGUAAACGAU